rnacentral:rRNA from 1 species
GACGAACGCUGGCGGCGUGCUUAACACAUGCAAGUCGAACGGUGAUGCUCCAGCUUGCUGGAGUGGAUCAGUGGCGAACGGGUGAGUAACACGUGAGCAACCUGCCCCAGACUCUGGAAUAAGCGCUGGAAACGGCGUCUAAUACUGGAUACGAAACUGGCCCGCAUGGGCAUGGUUUGGAAAGUUUUUCGGUUUGGGAUGGGCUCGCGGCCUAUCAGCUUGUUGGUGAGGUAAUGGCUCACCAAGGUGACGACGGGUAGCCGGCCUGAGAGGGCGACCGGCCACACUGGGACUGAGACACGGCCCAGACUCCUACGGGAGGCAGCAGUGGGGAAUAUUGCACAAUGGGCGAAAGCCUGAUGCAGCGACGCCGCGUGAGGGAUGACGGCCUUCGGGUUGUAAACCUCUUUCAGCAGGGAAGAAGCGAAAGUGACGGUACCUGCAGAAGAAGCACCGGCUAACUACGUG